AGGCCAAUUAUCUAUUAAAGUUUGGUAACCAACAGAAGUGGGUUUUGGAAAUAAGUUUAAACCGAGCUAUAGUUUAGGUGUUGCUUGUCUUGAAAAAGGAUAAGCUUGCUUGGGCUUCUUUGGAUUUAACUUUGAGUGUGGAAGCAAUGGAGGGAUUCUCUAAGUUUAUUUCAUAGACACAUUCUAAUAUCAAUGAGUGGAGCUAGUAGCUAUGACGGAGGAGUAGCAACUCAAAUGUUAAGUAUUGUCUUACAAGCAAUUCAAUUGAUUUUUAGUGGAAUGAGUUAGCGGCUUGAUUGAAGAG